rnacentral:rRNA from 1 species
ACUCAAAGGAAUUGACGGGGGCCCGCACAAGCGGUGGAGCAUGUGGCUUAAUUCGAUGCAACGCGAAGAACCUUACCUGGCCUUGACAUGCACGUAGUAGAACCAUGAAAGUGGGACGAGGUAGCAAUACCAGCGUGCACAGGUGCUGCAUGGCUGUCGUCAGCUCGUGCCGUGAGGUGUUCGGUUAAGUCCGGUAACGAGCGCAACCCCUGUGUUUAGUUGCAACCGCCGAUGUGAAUCGGUGGGCACUCUAAACAGACUGCCCUGUGAAACGGGGAGGAAGGUGGGGAUGACGUCAAGUCAGUAUGGCCCUUACGGCCAGGGCUGCACACGUGCUACAAUGCCCAGCACAGAGGGACGCAAGACCGCGAGGUGGAGCAAAUCCCCCAAAACUGGGCUCAGUUCAGAUUGAAGGCUGCAACUCGCCUUCAUGAAGCUGGAAUCGCUAGUAAUGGCGCAUCAGCUACGGCGCCGUGAAUACGUUCCCGGGCCUUGUACACACCGCCCGU